rnacentral:misc_RNA from 1 species
AAGUCGUAACAAGGUUUCCGUAGGUGAACCUGCGGAAGGAUCAUUAGCAAAUCUGGUUUUUGGGGGUUGAGGAUAUAAGAUAGUGUAAGGGCUGUUUUAUAUUCCUUGAUACCAAACACACAUUGACUCGGGCGUUGUGUAAAUGUGUGGUGAUGCCGAGAUUGGUAUGUGUUUGCUGCUUGCGGUGAGCAUAAGCACCAUAUCUCAUAGCAUCAAACACGCUUGUACAACUUGCCUUGAGCAAUAUUCACGCAUGUUUUGUUUGACUGAAUAACAUUAUACAAUUAAAACAACGACAACUUUUAACAAUGGAUCUCUUGGCUCUC